rnacentral:rRNA from 1 species
GUUAGGAAUAUUGGACAAUGGACGCAAGUCUGAUCCAGCCAUGCCGCGUGAGUGAUGAAGGCCUUCGGGUUGUAAAGCUCUUUAGCCGAUGAUUAUAAUGACUGUAGUCGGAAAAUAAGCCCCGGCUAACUUCGUGCCAGCAGCCGCGGUAAUACGAAGGGGGCGAGCGUUAUUCGGAAUCACUGGGCGUAAAGCGUGCGUAGGCGGUCUCGUAAGUUAGGAGUGAAAGCCCAGGGCUCAACCUUGGAAUUGCUAUUAAAACUGCAAGGCUAGAAUAUCGGAGAGGAUAGAGGAAUUUCCAGUGUAGCAGUGAAAUGCGUAGAUAUUGGAAGGAACACCAGUGGCGUAAGCGGCUAUCUGGACGAGUAUUGACGCUGAGGCACGAAAGCGUGGGGAUCAAACAGGAUUAGAAACCCUAGUAGUCC